rnacentral:snRNA from 2 species
AGCCGUGUGAUGAGCUCAAAGCAAACUAUUCUUUCGCCUUUGACUAAAGAAUACUGUGGGCUCGUCACUAUUAACGGCAUAUGCCAAUUUUUGGAAGAGUCUUCUAUAGAGGACU